AGCGAACGCUGGCGGCAGGCUUAACACAUGCAAGUCGAGCGGGCACUUCGGUGUCAGCGGCAGACGGGUGAGUAACACGUGGGAACGUACCCUUUGGUUCGGAAUAACGCUGGGAAACUAGCGCUAAUACCGGAUACGCCCUUUUGGGGAAAGGCUUGCUGCCGAAGGAUCGGCCCGCGUCUGAUUAGCUAGUUGGUGGGGUAAUGGCCUACCAAGGCGACGAUCAGUAGCUGGUCUGAGAGGAUGAUCAGCCACGCUGGGACUGAGACACGGCCCAGACUCCUACGGGAGGCAGCAGUGGGGAAUAUUGGACAAUGGGCGCAAGCCUGAUCCAGCCAUGCCGCGUGAGUGAUGAAGGCCUUAGGGUUGUAAAGCUCUUUUGUCCGGGACGAUAAUGACGGUACCGGAAGAAUAAGCCCCGGCUAACUUCGUG
rnacentral:rRNA from 1 species